UAAUACGUAGGUGGCGAGCGUUAUCCGGAAUUAUUGGGUGUAAAGGGUGCGUAGGCGGGAUGUAUAAGUCAGAUGUGAAAUACCGUGGCUUAACCACGGGGCUGCAUUUGAUACUUAUGUUCUUGAGUAGAGUAGAGGCAAAUGGAAUUCCCAGUGUAGCGGUGAAAUGCGUAGAGAUUGGGAGGAACACCAGUGGCGAAGGCGAUUUGCUGGGCUUUUACUGACGCUGAGGCACGAAAGUGUGGGGAGCAAACAGGAUUAGAUACCCUGGUAGUCCACACCGUAAACGAUGAUUACUAGGUGUAGGGUGGUUGAACCAUUCUGUGCCGCAGUUAACACA
rnacentral:rRNA from 1 species